GCCCCAUUGGCGCAGUUGGUUAGCGCGUGGUACUUAUAAGUUAAAGUUAUUCUAAGCAAGGCCAAGGUCACCAGUUCGAGCCUGGUAUGGGGCA
rfam:Strongyloides papillosus strain LIN genome assembly, scaffold: SPAL_contig0001102